AACGUAGGAGCCAAGCGUUAUCCGAAUUCACUGGGCGUAAAGCGCGUGCAGGCGGUCUGGUAAGUUGGAUGUGAAAUCUUCCGGCUCAACUGGGAGAGGCCGUUCAAUACUGUCAGACUAGAGGGCGACAGAGGGAGGUGGAAUUCCCGGUGUAGUGGUGAAAUGCGUAGAUAUCGGGAGGAACACCAGAGGCGAAGGCGACCUCCUGGGUCGCACCUGACGCUCAGAUGCGAAAGCUAGGGGAGCGAACGGGAUUAGAUACCCCCGUAGUCC
rnacentral:rRNA from 1 species